rnacentral:rRNA from 1 species
CCUACGGGGUGCAGCAGUGGGGAAUAUUGCACAAUGGGGGAAACCCUGAUGCAGCGACGCCGCGUGAGGGAAGAAGUUUUUCGGAUUGUAAACCUCUGUCUUUGGUGACGAAAGAUGACGGUAGCCAAAGAGUAAGCUACUGCUAACUACGUGCCAGCAGCCGCGGUAAUACGUAGGUGGCAAGCGUUGUCCGGAAGUACUGGGUGUAAAGGGAGCGUAGGAGGGAAGACAAGGUGAAUGUUUAAACUAUCGUCUAAACCGAUAAUCGCGUUCGAAACUGGUUGUCUUGAGUGAAGUAGAGGCAGGCGGAAUUCCUAGUGUAGCGGUGAAAUGCGUAGAUAUUAGGAGGAACACCAGUGGCGAAGGCGGCCUGCUGGGCUUUAACUGACGCUGAGGCUCGAAAGCGUGGGUAGCAAACAGGAUUAGAUACCCGUGUAGUC